CUCAGGUUUAACGUCGAAAACAAAGACUUUGUCCUCAUGGGAUGCUUCAAGUGUCGAAGAGACUGCUUCAACUGGUCCGGUGUUUGCUUUUUUCAACUCUAUGUGUUAUUGCAACAUGUUGCGUGCAAGGAGUUUCUUCGUUUACGCUCUUGAAACAGAUCGAUAAUGCGCGACAGAUGAACCAAGUUGAUAAGGUGGACAAUAAAGAAUUGGUUGGAGUGAUUCUGAAGAAGAAAAAGAGGUAUGCAGAAGCUUGGAUGGUGCUCCAGUGGAUCAUGAGGGGAACGAUAAGGAGGAUGAGCAAGAAAAGAUCCAAGGUAAAAAGCAACGCUUGGUUUGGACUCACGAGCUUCAUCUAAUAUUUGUCAAAGCUAUGAAACAAUUGGAAUUAAUACUAUGGACUAUAUUAUUGAGCCGACAGUGAUUAUUCCAUGACAUAUUUAACAACAUA